rnacentral:rRNA from 1 species
GACGAACGCUGGCGGCGUGCUUAAUACAUGCAAGUCAACUGAACUUAAGAUAGCAAUAUUUUAAGGGAGGUGGCGCACGGGUGAGUAACACGUAGGUAAUCUGCCUUUAGGUCUGACACAACCCCGAGAAAUCGGGGCUAAUAUCAGAUGAUGCAGCGGCUCGACAUCGAGACAGUUGUUAAACCUUCGGGGCCUAGAGAUGAGCCUGCGUCUGAUUAGGUAGUUGGCGGAGUAAAAGCCCACCAAGCCUGCGAUCAGUAGCUGGUCUGAGAGGAUGAUCAGCCACACUGGAACUGAGACACGGUCCAGACUCCUACGGGAGGCAGCAGUAAGGAAUAUUGCUCAAUGGCCGAAAGGCUGAAGCAGCAACGCCGCGUGGAGGAUGAAAUACUUUUGUAUGUAAACUCCUGUAAGAAGGGAAAAAUAUUCCGAUUUAUCGGGAUUGAUUGUACCUUCAGAGUAAGCCCCGGCUAACUACGUGCC